AUUGAACGCUGGCGGCAGGCUUAACACAUGCAAGUCGAGCGGGGUGAGGUGCUUCGGUACUGAUCCUAGCGGCGGACGGGUGAGUAAUGCUUAGGAAUCUGCCAUUUAGUGGGGGACAACAUUCCGAAAGGGAUGCUAAUACCGCAUACGUCCUACGGGAGAAAGCAGGGGGUCUUCGGACCUUGCGCUAAAUGAUGAGCCUAAGUCGGAUUAGCUAGUUGGUGGGGUAAAGGCCUACCAAGGCGACGAUCUGUAGCGGGUCUGAGAGGAUGAUCCGCCACACUGGGACUGGAACACGGCCCAGACUCCUACGGGAGGCAGCAGUGGGGAAUAUGGGACAAGGGGCGGAAGCCUGAUCCAGCCAUGCCGCGUGUGUGAAGAAGGCCUUUUGGUUGUAAAGCACUUUAAGCGAGGAGGAGGCUACUUAGAUUAAUACUCUGGGAUAGUGGACGUUACUCGCAGAAUAAGCACCGGCUAACUCUGUGCCAGCCGCCGCGGUAAAAC
rnacentral:rRNA from 1 species